rnacentral:rRNA from 1 species
GAUGAACGCUGGCGGCGUGCCUAAUACAUGCAAGUCGAGCGAACGGACGAGAAGCUUGCUUCUCUGAUGUUAGCGGCGGACGGGUGAGUAACCCGUGGAUAACCUACCUAUAAGACUGGGAUAACUUCGGGAAACCGGAGCUAAUACCGGAUAAUAUUUUGAACCGCAUGGUUCAAAAGUAAAAGACGGUCUUGCUGUCACUUAUAGAUGGAUCCGCGCUGCAUUAGCUAGUUGGUAAGGUAACGGCUUACCAAGGCAACGAUGCAUAGCCGACCUGAGAGGGUGAUCGGCCACACUGGAACUGAGACACGGUCCAGACUCCUACGGGAGGCAGCAGUAGGGAAUCUUCCGCAAUGGGCGAAAGCCUGACGGAGCAACGCCGCGUGAGUGAUGAAGGUCUUCGGAUCGUAAAACUCUGUUAUUAGGGAAGAACAUAUGUGUAAGUAACUGUGCACAUCUUGACGGUACCUAAUCAGAAAGCCACGGCUAACUACGUG